AUUGAACGCUAGCGGGAUGCUUUACACAUGCAAGUCGAACGGCAGCGCGGACUUCGGUCUGGCGGCGAGUGGCGAACGGGUGAGUAAUGUAUCGGAACGUGCCCAGUAGCGGGGGAUAACUACGCGAAAGCGUAGCUAAUACCGCAUACGCCCUACGGGGGAACGCAGGGGAUCGUAAGACCUUGCACUCUUGCAGCGGCCGAUAUCGGAUUAGCUAGUUGGUGAGGUAACGGCUCACCAAGGCGACGAUCCGUAGCUGGUUUGAGAGGACGACCAGCCACACUGGGACUGAGACACGGCCCAGACUCCUACGGGAGGCAGCAGUGGGGAAUUUUGGACAAUGGGGGCAACCCUGAUCCAGCCAUCCCGCGUGUGCGAUGAAGGCCUUCGGGUUGUAAAGCACUUUUGGCAGGAAAGAAACGUCGCGGGCUAAUACCCCGUGGAACUGACGGUACCUGCAGAAUAAGCACCGGCUAACUACGUG
rnacentral:rRNA from 1 species